rnacentral:rRNA from 1 species
AACGAACGCUGGCGGCAUGCCUAACACAUGCAAGUCGAACGAGACCUUCGGGUCUAGUGGCGCACGGGUGCGUAACGCGUGGUAACCUGCCCUUAGGUUCGGAAUAACUCCCCGAAAGGGGUGCUAAUACCGGAUAAUGUCUUCGGACCAAAGAUUUAUCGCCUUUGGAUGGGCCCGCGUUGGAUUAGCUAGUUGGUAGGGUAAAAGCCUACCAAUGCGACGAUCCAUAGCUGGUCUGAGAGGAUGAUCAGCCACACUGGGACUGAGACACGGCCCAGACUCCUACGGGAGGCAGCAGUGGGGAAUAUUGGACAAUGGGCGAAAGCCUGAUCCAGCAAUGCCGCGUGAGUGAUGAAGGCCUUAGGGUUGUAAAGCUCUUUUACCCGGGAUGAUAAUGACAGUACCGGGAGAAUAAGCUCCGGCUAACUCCGUG